GACGAACGCUGGCGGCGUGCUUAACACAUGCAAGUCACGGGGGCUUGGGGGCGACUCUGAGCAACCGGCGAACGGGUGCGUAACACGUGAGCAACCUGCCGAUCUGUGGGGGAUAGCCGGGCUAACGCCCGGGUAAUACCGCAUACGGUUCCUGCGAGGCGUCUUGCGGGAAAGAAACCUCUGGGGCAGAUCGAGGGGCUCGCGGCCUAUCAGCUGGUUGGGGGGUAAUGGCCCACCAAGGCGACGACGGGUAGCUGGUCUGAGAGGAUGGCCAGCCACAUUGGGACUGAGAGACGGCCCAGACUCCUACGGGAGGCAGCAGUGGGGAAUCUUGCGCAAUGGCCGCAAGGCUGACGCAGCGACGCCGCGUGUGGGAGGACGCCUUUC
rnacentral:rRNA from 1 species